UUUUUUUUUCUUCUCUCGCUCUUCUGGUGUUUCGAAUGAAGAAUGCAUCGACGAUGGUUGAGGAGAUUGAUAUAAAAUAAUCUGAAGAUUUGGGUUUUGAUUUUGAGUUGAUUUGAUUCAGGCACGAAACUGUUACAAUCUCUUGGGGUUCUUCUUCCUCGUGGUGAUCUGAUCUAGGGUUUUUGAGGCACAGAGUCGACGGCUUGGUUUUUUCUUCUUCUUCCUCGUCGGUGUUGAUUGGAAUCGAGUCUAACCCAUGAAUCUUGGCGACGAGGGAGAUUCUGUUUCAGUCUAACCCAUGAAGCUUGUCUCAGCAGCUUAGACAAGGUAUGUGACUUUGAGUAGAUUUCAAGUGUAGCAGACUUCUUGACAGGCGAACACGGUGGCUACUUUUGCGAGGUUGACUAAGGAGGAUUCUAGGAAGCUUUUGUCUUCGAAAUUUCAUCCUUCAUGGGUUGUGUUUUUCUGAAGUUAAGUUACCAGCUUCUUUCUUGCGUAUACAUUUAUGUGUUUGCAUCGACUUACAUAGCGUUCUCUUGUAUUUACUCAGUUGACUUGGCCAAGCCACCACUUGACAAAGUUAUGGUUUUAUGUUGAUAAGGUAAGUGCUUUGAAAGAUGUUGAUAUUCUCAUUGAUGCCAUGGAGAUUUUGUUACAUACACCAGAUAUUAUUUCCAAAAAUGUAUGAUUUGGCAGUGGAAUUGAUUCUGAGAGAUGCAGAGGAGAUAAAAGAGUAUAGAGAGAAGAAAAUGAACAACUUGUAGGGACAUGCCUAUUGAAGAAUCUCUAAAACUAUUUGACGAAAUGAGACAAUGAAUGAUUGAGGAGGGAAAGGCAAGAUAUGCAGAGUGAAAUUUUUAACAUGUAUGACCUUAUUGGCUAUUGAAUAAAG